rnacentral:rRNA from 1 species
UUGAUGAGGAGCUUGCUCCUCUGAUGGUUAGCGGCGGACGGGUGAGUAACACGUAGGCAACCUGCCCGUAAGACCGGGAUAACUACCGGAAACGGUAGCUAAUACCGGAUAAUUUAUCGCUUCGCAUGGAGCGGUAAUGAAAGACGGAGCAAUCUGUCACUUACGGAUGGGCCUGCGGCGCAUUAGCUAGUUGGUGAGGUAACGGCUCACCAAGGCGACGAUGCGUAGCCGACCUGAGAGGGUGAACGGCCACACUGGGACUGAGACACGGCCCAGACUCCUACGGGAGGCAGCAGUAGGGAAUCUUCCGCAAUGGGCGAAAGCCUGACGGAGCAACGCCGCGUGAGUGAUGAAGGUUUUCGGAUCGUAAAGCUCUGUUGCCAGGGAAGAACGUCGGGUAGAGUAACUGCUAUCCGAGUGACGGUACCUGAGAAGAAAGCCCCGGCUAACUACGUGCCAGCAGCCGCGGUAAUACGUAGGGGGCAAGCGUUGUCCGGAAUUAUUGGGCGUAAAGCGCGCGCAGGCGGUCACUUAAGUCUGGUGUUUAAGGCUAGGGCUCAACUCUAGUUCGCACUGGAAACUGGGUGACUUGAGUGCAGAAGAGGAAAGUGGAAUUCCACGUGUAGCGGUGAAAUGCGUAGAGAUGUGGAGGAACACCAGUGGCGAAGGCGACUUUCUGGGCUGUAACUGACGCUGAGGCGCGAAAGCGUG